rnacentral:rRNA from 1 species
UACAGAGGUCCCAAGCGUUGUUCGGAUUCAUUGGGCGUAAAGGGUGCGUAGGUGGCAUGGUAAGUCGGGUGUGAAAUCCCGGGGCUCAACCCCGGAACUGCACUCGAUACUGCCGUGCUCGAGUACUGGAGAGGAGACUGGAAUUUACGGUGUAGCAGUGAAAUGCGUAGAUAUCGUAAGGAAGACCGGUGGCGAAGGCGGGUCUCUGGACAGUUCCUGACGCUGAGGCACGAAGGUCAGGGGAGCAAACGGG